rnacentral:rRNA from 1 species
UACGUAGGGUGCGAGCGUUGUCCGGAAUUAUUGGGCGUAAAGAGCUCGUAGGCGGUCUGUCGCGUCUGCCGUGAAAACCCGAGGCUUAACCUCGUGGCUUGCGGUGGAUACGGGCAGACUAGAGGUAGGUAGGGGAGAAUGGAAUUCCCGGUGUAGCGGUGAAAUGCGCAGAUAUCGGGAGGAACACCGGUGGCGAAGGCAGGUCUCUGGGCCACUACUGACGCUGAGAAGCGAAAGCAUGGGGAGCGAACAGG